UCCAAACAAAUGUAGAUCUGAUGAUACAGUUAUGUGAAAAUGCACAUCAACUUUGUGUGAUUAUUUCCAUUUGCAAGAAUCGAAAGCUUGAAUUAGCCUCCAGGUCGGUCAACGGAACAGACAAUUAACAUUAAAGGAAGAGACCAGUUUGUGCUAGAGUACAACACUGCAGUAAAGCGUACAGCAGCUAAAUCCCCACCUAGCAUAGAAUCUUGCAAAGCUUGAAAGGGGCACACUUAUUUUGAUUGGUAGCAACCCGCACACAAACUGCCAUAGAAUGGCGGCCAACUCUGUAAGAGUCGUUCUCCUCGACCAAAAGCAACAAAUCAUGGCGGGCCCUAUGACCAAAGCUAGUCAAUUGCGGUAGUCGUCUUGCUUGUACAGUUGCACUAACGACCAAGCCAUGGAGAGUUAGACUUGUCAUGCCACGACCGAUUGUCUCGGUAGUACGCCUUCAUUAUGCCCUGAUGAUGCAUGCAUUAGGCAUUUGAGUUCACUGAAUAUAAUUUCUUCCAUUAGAAGAAAACAAAUGGAAUAAAUGUUAAAACAAGUCAAACAAAUGGAAUAAAUGUUAAUUUCUUCCACUGAGCAAACUAGCAAGAGCUCAAAAAUAAAGUAGCAAUUAAUUUUAGUGGUUUACCGUGAUUUUACUAGAAGGAUUUCAUCCUAUACAGUUCAAUGGCCUACAGACCAUAUGGUUUUGUCUACACAGCUCGCCCAUCCCACCCCACCCCGGAUCAACAACCACCAAGUGAUGCUUUUUCUAAAGCUAUAUAUAUACACGGUCUUAGGGCUCUCCGGGACUCCAAACUGUACCCCGAUACCUUCAUUAGAGUGAGGUAGAGAAAGAGAACUAGGGCUCUCCCACUCUGAUAAGAUUGUGGGCGAGGAAACCAUAGCUGCUACCGACAUGGUUUGGGCAUGUCACACCCGGUUUUGAAACAAAACCAAGUGCUACCUAUAUUUAUGUCAGGAUUAGUUUCAUACAUAUAGUGACAUCAUUAGUGAAUAACAAUAACUAUAUCACAUGAAAAGAUAUAGAGUCCAUCAGAGAUUUACAGCUUAAUCCGGGAAACGAAGGUUCCAAACUUCACAGGCAAUCGAUCAGGGCUUGCGUAUGCCUAGAACUCAACACCAUCUUCACAACAACUUCAUAGCAGCUUCUUCUGAGUAACGUUGGUUAUAGCAAGGGUGAGCAUUUGUAAUACUCAGUGAGUGUGGGGAACAUAUGAAUGCAAGGCUUAAACAAGGAAAAGGUUGACUAGUUGACUGCAUUAGACAUUUUUAGUUGGUCAAAUUUUAUUAGCAUCUGAACCCAAUCAAUUUACAAACCACACACCAACGCGAAGCAAUACAAGCCACCAAGCAUACAUGAUGUAGGGUAUUGCUCUCCGGAGGUUCGAACUUAUCUUAAAUCCUAUUGUCUCUUAUGUUCUCACGAUCACAUUCGAGUUCUUGGUUUCGCAACCUCCUCCACCUACAAAUCAACCACUUGGGUAACUCCCUGGUGGACUGUUGGGCUUAUAAAUCUAACAACAUUAGUCAAAUUAACAUUAGUAUGAAAACACGGGGUUAAACUCUAAUUAGAUUUUAAUUAGAAAAACAACUAUGUAAGUACUUAAUCAUAUUUAGUAUUUAAAAGAAAUUACAAAACAGGGAAUAUGAUUGAAAUUGCCUCUAACACGUAUUUUAAGUUGAUAUGAAUCUAACACAACAAGAACCGAUUGAAACGGAGCUAAAACGUAGAAUCUAUUUGCUAAACAAGCCGCAGGUGUCUAAACGUGAUUAACCGAAGGUGACAGGGGCCAACAAGGAAGUUUUAUAAGACACUAUAAAUACUGCUCACAAAAUUGAUAAGGCUCAGGGUUAGAUCUACUAAAAGUCACGGCUUCGAUUAGUUUGCAAAGAAUCUUAAGCUUCUAGGGGUUAUCAGCAAAUUUACCAAGACACAAAGAAGAAACUAAGGAUUACAGAAUAGACCGGGUGUCUAUCUGCAAAAGCUCAAAGCUGGCUAUGGCGGAUGGGAGGUCUGGGCUUUCCAGUCGCCGGCGCAGUAGAACGAAAUUAAGUGCUCAAGUGUACGAGUCACCAUCACAUGGCAGUUUUUAUGAUACCCUCGAAGCAAGAUAAGUACUUACCACAAAAUACUACACAUGCACGUGUUUCGUGAUGUAAGCAUAUAUGCCGUCACCAAAUCAAUGUAUAUAAGGUAAUAAUUCACGCUGUGUUUAAUUUUUUCCACGCUUCCAUAUAGCCUCCAAAAGGCAUGUCUAGUCAUGGUCACUCUAACGAAACUAUCCGUAUACUUUUCCGUGUUGCUUAACUUCACACAUUCUAUAGCUCUCAACAACCACCGGGCGUUGCUUUUUCCCUACAUAUACAUACAGCCUCAGGGUUCUCAAGGACACAAACUGUGUACAUUCCAUUGGAGUGAGCUAGGUAGAGAAGUGUACAGAGCCUUCAGAAACCAAAUCUGCAGCCAACAUGGAUGUGGCACCGAGUCCUCCCACACCCAGUCCCUAUACCAAAGAUCAGUGCCUUAAAGAUAAUGCAGAUAGCGUAAAAUUUUUUGUCAUCCUGGCCGUUCUCGCCAUGUUCCUCCUGCACGUACUGGGUUCCUUACGCCGGCGGUCGAGCCACACGCUCCUCCAUUCUAUCGUGAUGGGAGUCUACACGCUCUCCUAUCCGCUGGUGGGCUAUACCGUUGGGCUGAUGAAAUCUUCCAAUUUCUACUACGAAGACUUCACUGUGUGGGCAGUGUUCCUUCUUCUGCUCCUCGGCAGCACGGACAACCUCACGGUUUGCCGCCUUAGCGACAACGACAACUGGAAGAGCAUCCACUUCAAACACAUCCUUAAGGGAUUCUGGCUGGUGCUAAUCAUUAUGACGAUUACAAAUUAUGAGAAUAACAUCUACGGCAACAAACUUCUCUACAGGUAUCCGUUGUAUGCCAUCGUGUUGGUCGUCAUCCUCAAGGGGUAUGUGAGGAUCGCUUCCAUGAGGAUGGUGAGCAAAUCCUAUGUCUGCAAGAAGGUUAAGGUGAUCGCCGAAUAUAUGCAGCAGCAGCACAAGGACAACCUGGCGGUGCCCUUCGAUCCUGUGACCAUGGAAGGCUACCGGUACAUCGUCGCUGGCGAGAAGUACUGCAUCAAGCGGUGGUCUGGUUGCACACCAUGUUACAAGGGGGGCGACUUAAUGGUUAUCACCGUGGAGAAGAUCUGGCAGUGCACAGGGAGGCUGCUGGUCCAUGAGCGGGGCAAGGUGCUCAAGGACUUGUGCCUCUCUGUGGCACUCUCCAAGAUGCUCAACCGAAGGUUUAUUGGCUUCAGACUCUCAGAGGCGGGGCAUGAGAAAGCCCAUGACUUUGUGUUCAAAGGCCUGCUCGCCGGGGACAAGCCACAUCAGAGGGCCUUCAGGGUCAUCGAGGAAGAGCUUGUUUUUGUCCAUGACUUAUAUUACACAAGGUAUUCUUACCUUUACCAAAAGGGUCGAUACAUUGCCCUCUGUCUGCCCAUCGUCAUGCUUGGCUUAUGC
rnacentral:lncRNA from 1 species